rnacentral:tRNA from 3 species
GCCGGGGUGGCGGAAUUGGCAGACGCUGCGGACUUAAAAUCCGCUGGAGGGAGCCUCCGUGUCGGUUCGAGUCCGAUCCCCGGCACCA